GAACUAGAUCUUCCGGACACGCGGGAUGAGGGGCUAGCUUACAACAGAAAACAAACCACAGAGAAAGUUGGAAACUUAUCUGUACAAGGAAUCAUCAAGGAGCACUCUCCAAACAUCUCUGAGAGAACAGACCGUAUUUCGAGCCUCAUGAACUUUCUGGAAGACUGAAGGACCACUAAUAUUUACAUGACUGAAGUUGACAUCGAAUGUGGAGACUGUAUCGGGUAUCAUUGAAAGCAGUCAGAAGGUCAGACGGAUUUGGAUUCAAACCUCAUUUCCAGCACGAGACAAUGUAGACGUCUGCCUCUCGGUGACAGCAAAACACGACAUGAUGAAUCGGGGGACCUGCAGGGGUUCACCUUCGGUGACUUCACACUUAUCAUCUGCUCUGACGAAAACACAUCUGGAACAGCUGAAAAGAGUUGAGCCCGGAAAAGAAUGGCACCAAAAUAAAGUAUUUCUCUUAAAAUACGCUCCAAUACAAAGGUUCUAACAAGGAUGCACAGAUGUGUUGCAUUCAACUCUAUUAUGAAAACAGCAUACGUCUCUAUUACAACGGACCCUUCACGGUCAGAGCAGAGAUGUGGCCGCGGGAAAUGUGGAUGCGAGCGUCAGUUCUGUCCUGCCGGACCCCUCCGAGGUGGGGAGGCUCUGCAGGCUGGAAAGAGACUUCCCGUUUGGAAGAUGAACAGUCGUGGGCGCCUGGGUGGCUCAGUCGGGUGAGUGUCCGACCUCAACGCAGGGCCUGACCUCACAGUUCUUGGGUUCGAGCCCCGCGUCGGGCUCUGUGCAGAUCCUGCAGCUGCUUCGGAGUCUGUGU